UGAGCAUUUGGUAGAGAGCAUGAAGUU
rnacentral:piRNA from 1 species